GCUCAUUAUGUGUUAAUGAGAGGAKCUGGCKCYUUUUCCACGGGUCCCAAUUGMUUUUUUUCCCCGGACCGUUGAKUAAYGCCAGGGGACCCAAWWGUYUUGGGGGAUAACAGUUGGAAACGACKGCUAAUACCGCAWACSCCCUACGGGGGAAAGGAGGGGACCUUCGGGCCUUUCGCGAUKGGAUGAACCCRGGUGGGAUUAGCUAGUUGGKGGGGUAAUGGCUCACCAAGGCGACRAUCCCUAGCUGGUCUGAGAGGAUGAUCASCCACACUGGAACUGARACACGGUCCARACUCCUACGGGAGGCAGCAGUGGGGAAUAUUGCACAAKGGGGGAAACCCUGAUGCASCCWUGCCGCGKGUGUGAARAAGGCCUUCGGGUUGUAAAGCAYUUUCAGCGAGGAGGAAAGGUUGGCGCCUAAUACGUGUCAACUGUGACKUUACUCGCARAARAAGCACCGGCUAACUCCGUGCCAGCASCCGCGGUAAUACGGAGGGUGCAAGCGUUAAUCGGAAUUACUGGGCGUAAAGCGCACGCAGGCGGUUGGAUAAKUUAGAUGUGAAAGCCCCGGGCUCAACCUGGGAAUUGCAUUUAAAACUGUCCAGCUAGAGUCUUGUAGAGGGGGGUAGAAUUCCAGGUGUAGCGGUGAAAUGCGUAGAGAUCUGGAGGAAUACCGGUGGCGAAGGCGGCCCCCUGGACAAAGACUGACGCUCAGGUGCGAAAGCGUGGGGAGCAAACAGGAUUAGAUACCCUGGUAGUCCACGCCGUAAACGAUGUCUAUUUGGAGGCUGUGUCCUUGAGACGUGGCUUCCGGAGCUAACGCGUUAAAUCGACCGCCUGGGGAGUACGGCCGCARGGUUAAAACUCAAAUGAAUUGACGGGGCCCGCACAAGCGGUGGAGCAUGUGGUUUAAUUCGAUGCAACGCGAASACCUUACCUGGGCCUUGACAUGUCUGGAAUCCCUGUAAGRAUASGGGUAGUGCCUUUCGRGAAUCAAACAMAGGUGCUGCAUGGGCUGUCGUCAGCUCGUGUCGUGAGAUGUUGGAUUAAGUCCGCAACGAGCGCAACCCCCUGUCCUUGUUGCAGCACGUAUGGCUGCAACUCAAGGUAACUGGCGGKAUACCGGAGAAGUGGAUGACGUCAAUUCAUCAKGGCGCCUAUGUA
rnacentral:rRNA from 1 species